rnacentral:rRNA from 1 species
UUUUAAGGCCAUACCACCCUUAACACACUUGAUCACGUCUGAUCUUGGAAGCUAAGCAUGGUCAGGCCUGGUUAGCUCUUGGAUUGGAGAACCCCUGGGAAUACCAGGUGCUGUAAGCU